rnacentral:rRNA from 1 species
UGGGGAAUAUUGCACAAUGGGCGCAAGCCUGAUGCAGCCAUGCCGCGUGUAUGAAGAAGGCCUUCGGGUUGUAAAGUACUUUCAGCGGGGAGGAAGGCGAUAAGGUUAAUAACCUUGUCGAUUGACGUUACCCGCAGAAGAAGCACCGGCUAACUCCGUGCCAGCAGCCGCGGUAAUACGGAGGGUGCAAGCGUUAAUCGGAAUUACUGGGCGUAAAGCGCACGCAGGCGGUCUGUCAAGUCGGAUGUGAAAUCCCCGGGCUCAACCUGGGAACUGCAUUCGAAACUGGCAGGCUAGAGUCUUGUAGAGGGGGGUAGAAUUCCAGGUGUAGCGGUAAAAUGCGUAGAGAUCUGGAGGAAUACCGGUGGCGAAGGCGGCCCCCUGGACAAAGACUGACGCUCAGGUGCGAAAGCGUGGGGAGCAAACAGG